UGAGUCCCCCAGAACCACUCUUCGUUUGCCUCCGAAGUGACCUGAGGAGCGUGAACCCGUUUUGCCGUCACCCGUCGUUAACCGAGAGCGUGAAAACGCCGGUUGGGCGGAGCUGUUGUCUGAGCUUUCAGUUGGGGGCGCUCGCAGGGCCCCAGAGGGGUAGGUAGCAUGUGAUUGCUCCCUCCCUGCCUGGCACUAAAGCCCUUUCCCUGUUGUCUUGCGUGCCCAGGCCGUGCGGACUCUGCGGCUGUCUGGGAAGCAGAUGGAGACUGUCCCUUGGACGGCUUUGCGGGCCGUGCGGCAGGCAGCACCCGCUUCUGUCCCACAGAACCCUGAUCCGCCGCGCCUGAGGCCGCCCCUGUGUGCAGGGAUGAGGCCUGCUAGCAGCUUAAAGAUGAGACCACACUGGAACCCAGACGUCUGUUAUGACCACCUGCUGCUCCGUGGCGUCCUUCUCACUCCAAGAGUGCUGCCUUGAAUCUGGAGAUUGUUGGAGGAAGCCAGAGGGGAUGGAAGCACCAGCCCUUUCAUGGUGAGCUGGGUCCCAGCUGCCCUGGGGGGACCUCCUCAUGAUGAUGUCGGGGUUGAUCGUGGACGCUGGAGUGGCAUGGUGAAGGAGGACGUUGCCGUGUGAAGCAUUGCCAGACCUCCUUGCCCAGUUGCCUCAGCACAGCAUGGAAGGCCUUUUCCGUCUGUGUAAGCAGGCCCCAGGGAAAGCCCUGGCACUCUGGAAGCUUGAGGUCCAGAGCUAGAGACUUUAGCUGGUUCUGCCACUCCCCCAGCAGCUGUCACCGAGCGCUGUUGACCAGGAAGACCAGUUCCCUUCCACCUGGGCCAUGUUGUCCAGCAGCCUCCACGUCUCCCGCCUCCUCCCCCUGUAACUUUUUAGAACCAAGAGUUUUCUGCACAGUGCAUCCUUGUCCUCUUACCCACCCAAUAAAUUUUGAAACUGCC